rnacentral:lncRNA from 1 species
AUUCUUCACGGCUGCUUUGGAAGUCCAGACUUCAGGAAAACUAUAAGUAGGAGCUUAAUUUGAAGGGAAGAAAUCUAAACAGAGUUAAGGUGUCAGGUACUGAGAGAGAGCGCCCUCACUCCCAGUCUGAGGUCUACAUAUACCUCAGACUAACGCCCGUGCUGGCUUUAAGGGAAGGGGCCACCAGAUUUUUACCAACAGUCAGCCAGGUCAGAGGUAAAACAGCAGCUGCCCCCAGACAGGUCACCAGAAAAGAAGAAAAGCUCCUGGUUUUCUUUUUUUUAAGUUUUAAGUGAUUCUUCAGUGCUGACCAGCAGCCUCAAGCCCGUUGCUUGUGAGGACUUUUUCUGGCGUGUAGAAUGAAGCCACCCUCUUGUUAACCCCAGAGGGCAAACCCACCGCUCGGGUGCAUACUCCUUUUCCAGCUCCUUUUCGAUGGCCAUCACACUAUGCUGCUCAAUCCCACCUAA